rnacentral:rRNA from 1 species
GAUGAACGCUGGCGGCGUGCCUAAUACAUGCAAGUCGAGCGAACGGACGAGAAUCUUGCUUCUCUGAUGUUAUCGGCGGACGGGUGAGUAACACGUGGAUCACCUACCUUUAAGACUGGGAUAACUUCUGGAAACCGUAGCUAAUACCUGAUAAUAUUUUGAACCGCAUGGUUCAAAAGUUAAAGACGGUCUUGCUGUCACUUAUAGAUGGAUCCGCGCUGCCUUAUCUGGUUGGUAAGGUAACGGCUUACCAAGGCAACGAUGGAUAGCCGACCUGAGAGGGUGAUCGGCCACAGUGGAACUGAGACACGGUCCAGACUCCUACGGGAGGCAGCAGUAGGGAAUCGUCCGCAAUGGGCGAAAGCCUGACGGAGAAACGCCGCGUGAGUGAUGAAGGUCUUCGGCUCGUAAAACUCUGUUAUUAGGGAAGAACAUAUGUGUAAGUAACUGUGCACAUCUUGACGGUACCUAAUCAGAAAGCCACGGCUAACUACGUG